AAUCGCAAACAGCACGCAGAUAGCUAACAAUGGUUACCGCUUGCGAGUGUGUGUCUGUACAUCAGACUGUCAUCUGUCGCGUAACAGACGAUACACUAACUAACAUCAACAAUUUGAUCAGUCUAAAUAACGGCUAUUAUUAUUUCUCUCAAGCUUUCCACAGCCUCACACCAUCUUAACAGAGACGCACACAGUAGGCCUACAGCCUUGGCAAACUGGCAAACGAAUUGGCCCGCGAAUUGGCGCACGCAGCAUAAUUUUACAUGAAAGAACAAGUCUAGCUGAACCCGACCAGCCGAGAGAUUUGAGAGUCUGUUCCGGCCUGUUCCAAUUCCAUUUCUGAAUGCCUUAUAAAAUGGAAACUGCCUCUUAAUCCACUGGGAUCGGUGUACGACACUUUACGCCGAAUAUACCAUACAGAUGAUGGCUUGUCAUGAUCACGAUCCCGUCAGGACCUUAGGUUGUAGGAUAGGACCUUAUGAUUGACCAGGAUAGGACCUUAUGAUUGACCAGGAUAGGACCUUAUGUUGGUACAACGGACGCUAUGACAUCCGCUCGUACCUAAAGAGUUUGCUUCCUCUCGGUAAAUCCGGUACACAAAAUGAAGUGUCGCUUAUGAACACUAGAUGGCGAUUGAUGUUGUUGAUCUCUUCAUGGCGAACGAAUGUCAAAAGUUAUGAUUUGUCCUAGCUGUGUUCGAGUUUUCGUUGCUGUUGCAGAUAUUGAGUGUAUGUUCUGCUGCUUCAGCAGGCCAUAUUUGUGGAUUAUACCAGUUUUCACAACAAGUUUCUACAUGUCUGGUAUUAUUCACAACCUCAGUGUAGAUUUCAUGCAACCAACUUCCAGCAGCAGCGGCUGUUGAAAUGGAGCUAGUGCAGACUUACAGUUCCACAUUUGCCUAUGUUGGUGUCCAUGCAGUGUUGAACAGUUGGGCAAAAUAGCAGAUGUUGCAUGAUGACUGUCAGGCAUAUUUUAUCGGCUGAAUGUUGUCGUCUCUUGCUAGCUACAUGUACCGGCGUUGAGUUCAAUAGUUCACCGCCGUUUCAUUGACGUGAAACUGAGGAGAGGUUGCUGAACUUCAAACAUUGACAUUCAAAUCAAUCAUGCGCUUUUCAAGUUUUAGUCGAGGAAACGUGAAAGUGGUGCAGCCCAUACCAUCAACUAUUUUGUUCAAAAUCACUGUAUUCUGCUGAAUGUUCCAUCGGAAUUAUACAGGAUUCAUCACAAUUGUCUGCUGUUUGUAUUGGACUUGCUCGUUCACCAACCCUGGCAUGUACCAAGCUCUCAUUCCAUCUUCUAGAAUAGUUUGGAUAACUGAUCAUCACUGAUCAGUGGUUUCAUGUACGUCCAUCCAGGAGUCCAUCCGGUUUUGGCAAUUGGAACGACGGACUGGCAAAGACCCACCCCGAGAUGAUCGUUGCCUUGAGCACUCCGCCCAACACCAACUUUAUCCCUGCCAUUGGGCGUCUUAUUCCUCACGUCGGAGCGGCUCCGUUCCUCACGCCGUCUGCCCCCACGUCAUCUUCUCUCUGCAGCCCAUCGCUGCAGUUAACCGCAACAAGUUCCUUUCUGCUGUUCUCCGCCUGAUCCUCAAUGCCACUGAGACCACCGAGAUCCGUAUCGCCGCCGUCUCCACCAUGUUCCACUGUUGGUUCCACGUCGGGCACCCUUUCUACAACCAGCACGAUGACAAGCAGCACUUCGAGAAGUCUUUUACAAAGUUGAAAACUACUUCGGCGCAAGUAAUACCAACAACCACGUUGGUAAGCUGAGUAAAAAUCAGGAAAGACGACUCGAUAAUAUCCAGGCGUUCAAUCAUGACUAUAAUCAUCAAGGGCUCAAGGCGUUGAUGUCAGUAAUUGAGACCAGGUGGGGAAUCAAUUCUUGAGAGACUACACAAAAAAGAAAUAAAAGAUGGAUGAUGCCAAACGCUUGGGUUGGCCGCCCAUAUUCAAGUAAUCGUCAAUCUGAUGCCCUUUGAACCAAUAUACACACGGAUUACGAACUUAAUUCGCCCGUUUAGUGUCACUAAUUUGCCAUUAUUUGUUUGAACGCUUGCAAAGCAUCGGACUCCAACAUCACCACAUUUAACCGACACAAUUAACCGAAAUUCGAACGCUAUGUAUUCUUGCCGGAGGGGACAACAGAUAUUCUACCGGGUUCGCCAUCUCUCAUAUCGGUCUAUUACAGCGGUAAUCAACACUCAAGUACAACGGCGUAUACAAGAUUGUUCCUCGUCCAACGACCAGUCCUUCAAAAACUGAGUUUUGAAACGUGUCAAACAGAUGGCGUGUUGAUUGUGUCAGUUAUGGGCUUAUCGCUUAUGGCGGUUUGCUGUCAAAACAAAACUUAAGCUAUCUUUUCUUCGAAAAUUACCAAGGAAUUCAUGGAGUCGAGGAAACGUGAAAGUGGUGCAGCCCAUACCAUCAACUAUUUUGUUCAAAAUCACUGUAUUCUGCUGAAUGUUCCAUCGGAAUUAUACAGGAUUCAUCACAAUUGUCUGCUGUUUGUAUUGGACUUGCUCGUUCACCAACCCUGGCAUGUACCAAGCUCUCAUUCCAUCUUCUAGAAUAGUUUGGAUAACUGAUCAUCACUGAUCAGUGGUUUCAUGUAGGCAAUUUCGUUGUAAUACUGACAACUAUUUAAUGAGAACAACAACAACUACUGACCGGAAGACGUCCAUCCAGGAGUCCAUCCGGUUUUGGCAAUUGGAACGACGGACUGGCAAAGACCCACCCCGAGAUGAUCGUUGCCUUGAGCACUCCGCCCAACACCAACUUUAUCCCUGCCAUUGGGCGUCUUAUUCCUCACGUCGGAGCGGCUCCGUUCCUCACGUCGUCUGCCCCCACGUCAUCUUCUCUCUGCAGCCCAUCGCUGCAGUUAACCGCAACAAGUUCCUUUCUGCUGUUCUCCGCCUGAUCCUCAAUGCCACUGAGACCACCGAGAUCCGUAUCGCCGCCGUCUCCACCAUGUUCCACUGUUGGUUCCACGUCGGGCACCCUUUCUACAACCAGCACGAUGACAAGCAGCACUUCGAGAAGUCUUUUACAAAGUUGAAAACUACUUCGGCGCAAGUAAUACCAACAACCACGUUGGUAAGCUGAGUAAAAAUCAGGAAAGACGACUCGAUAAUAUCCAGGCGUUCAAUCAUGACUAUAAUCAUCAAGGGCUCAAGGCGUUGAUGUCAGUAAUUGAGACCAGGUGGGGAAUCAAUUCUUGAGAGACUACACAAAAAAGAAAUAAAAGAUGGAUGAUGCCAAACGCUUGGGUUGGCCGCCCAUAUUCAAGUAAUCGUCAAUCUGAUGCCCUUUGAACCAAUAUACACACGGAUUACGAACUUAAUUCGCCCGUUUAGUGUCACUAAUUUGCCAUUAUUUGUUUGAACGCUUGCAAAGCAUCGGACUCCAACAUCACCACAUUUAACCGACACAAUUAACCGAAAUUCGAACGCUAUGUAUUCUUGCCGGAGGGGACAACAGAUAUUCUACCGGGUUCGCCAUCUCUCAUAUCGGUCUAUUACAGCGGUAAUCAACACUCAAGUACAACGGCGUAUACAAGAUUGUUCCUCGUCCAACGACCAGUCCUUCAAAAACUGAGUUUUGAAACGUGUCAAACAGAUGGCGUGUUGAUUGUGUCAGUUAUGGGCUUAUCGCUUAUGGCGGUUUGCUGUCAAAACAAAACUUAAGCUAUCUUUUCUUCGAAAAUUACCAAGGAAUUCAUGGAGUCGAGGAAACGUGAAAGUGGUGCAGCCCAUACCAUCAACUAUUUUGUUCAAAAUCACUGUAUUCUGCUGAAUGUUCCAUCGGAAUUAUACAGGAUUCAUCACAAUUGUCUGCUGUUUGUAUUGGACUUGCUCGUUCACCAACCCUGGCAUGUACCAAGCUCUCAUUCCAUCUUCUAGAAUAGUUUGGAUAACUGAUCAUCACUGAUCAGUGGUUUCAUGUAGGCAAUUUCGUUGUAAUACUGACAACUAUUUAAUGAGAACAACAACAACUACUGACCGGAAGACGUCCAUCCAGGAGUCCAUCCGGUUUUGGCAAUUGGAACGACGGACUGGCAAAGACCCACCCCGAGAUGAUCGUUGCCUUGAGCACUCCGCCCAACACCAACUUUAUCCCUGCCAUUGGGCGUCUUAUUCCUCACGUCGGAGCGGCUCCGUUCCUCACGCCGUCUGCCCCCACGUCAUCUUCUCUCUGCAGCCCAUCGCUGCAGUUAACCGCAACAAGUUCCUUUCUGCUGUUCUCCGCCUGAUCCUCAAUGCCACUGAGACCACCGAGAUCCGUAUCGCCGCCGUCUCCACCAUGUUCCACGAGUUGAAAUAAACAUAGUUUUGAUUGUUUGCUGACCUAGAAACUCAUUUUGACGCGACAAAAGAUAGCUGCUGAAUAGAAGCUACAUCAAGAUUCAAGCUACACGCAAGCCCUUCCAAUUGAUCAAUCACGUUUGGAUUUUAAGUUUAAUUUAUUUAGCACAUUUUUAAAUUUCGUUAAAUAAUUUUUAUUUUUUAAAUUAAGACGAUUAAGACUUAAAGAAAAUAGUAUAAAAUUUGAGAUAAAAUUGAUUGAAAUAUUUAUUAGAUCAAGAUUCCAAUUUUUCAUGUUGUUACGGCUUACUUUAUUCAUCAGACUUGGUCAAAUAUUUGUUUUUAUUUGUUUGUCUCACAAUCAGUGUUGGUUCCACGUCGGGCACCCUUUCUACAACCAGCACGAUGACAAGCAGCACUUCGAGAAGUCUUUUACAAAGUUGAAAACUACUUCGGCGCAAGUAAUACCAACAACCACGUUGGUAAGCUGAGUAAAAAUCAGGAAAGACGACUCGAUAAUAUCCAGGCGUUCAAUCAUGACUAUAAUCAUCAAGGGCUCAAGGCGUUGAUGUCAGUAAUUGAGACCAGGUGGGGAAUCAAUUCUUGAGAGACUACACAAAAAAGAAAUAAAAGAUGGAUGAUGCCAAACGCUUGGGUUGGCCGCCCAUAUUCAAGUAAUCGUCAAUCUGAUGCCCUUUGAACCAAUAUACGUAAGUGAAGAAGAAGCAGCAACAGCUGCCCUAUCUUUAAAAGUGAUCUCCAGUUUAAUACAGCUGCCGAAAUUGUCAGACACGGAUUACGAACUUAAUUCGCCCGUUUAGUGUCACUAAUUUGCCAUUAUUUGUUUGAACGCUUGCAAAGCAUCGGACUCCAACAUCACCACAUUUAACCGACACAAUUAACCGAAAUUCGAACGCUAUGUAUUCUUGCCGGAGGGGACAACAGAUAUUCUACCGGGUUCGCCAUCUCUCAUAUCGGUCUAUUACAGCGGUAAUCAACACUCAAGUACAACGGCGUAUACAAGAUUGUUCCUCGUCCAACGACCAGUCCUUCAAAAACUGAGUUUUGAAACGUGUCAAACAGAUGGCGUGUUGAUUGUGUCAGUUAUGGGCUUAUCGCUUAUGGCGGUUUGCUGUCAAAACAAAACUUAAGCUAUCUUUUCUUCGAAAAUUACCAAGGAAUUCAUGGAGUCGAGGAAACGUGAAAGUGGUGCAGCCCAUACCAUCAACUAUUUUGUUCAAAAUCACUGUAUUCUGCUGAAUGUUCCAUCGGAAUUAUACAGGAUUCAUCACAAUUGUCUGCUGUUUGUAUUGGACUUGCUCGUUCACCAACCCUGGCAUGUACCAAGCUCUCAUUCCAUCUUCUAGAAUAGUUUGGAUAACUGAUCAUCACUGAUCAGUGGUUUCAUGUAGGCAAUUUCGUUGUAAUACUGACAACUAUUUAAUGAGAACAACAACAACUACUGACCGGAAGACGUCCAUCCAGGAGUCCAUCCGGUUUUGGCAAUUGGAACGACGGACUGGCAAAGACCCACCCCGAGAUGAUCGUUGCCUUGAGCACUCCGCCCAACACCAACUUUAUCCCUGCCAUUGGGCGUCUUAUUCCUCACGUCGGAGCGGCUCCGUUCCUCACGCCGUCUGCCCCCACGUCAUCUUCUCUCUGCAGCCCAUCGCUGCAGUUAACCGCAACAAGUUCCUUUCUGCUGUUCUCCGCCUGAUCCUCAAUGCCACUGAGACCACCGAGAUCCGUAUCGCCGCCGUCUCCACCAUGUUCCACUGUUGGUUCCACGUCGGGCACCCUUUCUACAACCAGCACGAUGACAAGCAGCACUUCGAGAAGUCUUUUACAAAGUUGAAAACUACUUCGGCGCAAGUAAUACCAACAACCACGUUGGUAAGCUGAGUAAAAAUCAGGAAAGACGACUCGAUAAUAUCCAGGCGUUCAAUCAUGACUAUAAUCAUCAAGGGCUCAAGGCGUUGAUGUCAGUAAUUGAGACCAGGUGGGGAAUCAAUUCUUGAGAGACUACACAAAAAAGAAAUAAAAGAUGGAUGAUGCCAAACGCUUGGGUUGGCCGCCCAUAUUCAAGUAAUCGUCAAUCUGAUGCCCUUUGAACCAAUAUACGUAAGUGAAGAAGAAGCAGCAACAGCUGCCCUAUCUUUAAAAGUGAUCUCCAGUUUAAUACAGCUGCCGAAAUUGUCAGACACGGAUUACGAACUUAAUUCGCCCGUUUAGUGUCACUAAUUUGCCAUUAUUUGUUUGAACGCUUGCAAAGCAUCGGACUCCAACAUCACCACAUUUAACCGACACAAUUAACCGAAAUUCGAACGCUAUGUAUUCUUGCCGGAGGGGACAACAGAUAUUCUACCGGGUUCGCCAUCUCUCAUAUCGGUCUAUUACAGCGGUAAUCAACACUCAAGUACAACGGCGUAUACAAGAUUGUUCCUCGUCCAACGACCAGUCCUUCAAAAACUGAGUUUUGAAACGUGUCAAACAGAUGGCGUGUUGAUUGUGUCAGUUAUGGGCUUAUCGCUUAUGGCGGUUUGCUGUCAAAACAAAACUUAAGCUAUCUUUUCUUCGAAAAUUACCAAGGAAUUCAUGGAGUCGAGGAAACGUGAAAGUGGUGCAGCCCAUACCAUCAACUAUUUUGUUCAAAAUCACUGUAUUCUGCUGAAUGUUCCAUCGGAAUUAUACAGGAUUCAUCACAAUUGUCUGCUGUUUGUAUUGGACUUGCUCGUUCACCAACCCUGGCAUGUACCAAGCUCUCAUUCCAUCUUCUAGAAUAGUUUGGAUAACUGAUCAUCACUGAUCAGUGGUUUCAUGUAGGCAAUUUCGUUGUAAUACUGACAACUAUUUAAUGAGAACAACAACAACUACUGACCGGAAGACGUCCAUCCAGGAGUCCAUCCGGUUUUGGCAAUUGGAACGACGGACUGGCAAAGACCCACCCCGAGAUGAUCGUUGCCUUGAGCACUCCGCCCAACACCAACUUUAUCCCUGCCAUUGGGCGUCUUAUUCCUCACGUCGGAGCGGCUCCGUUCCUCACGCCGUCUGCCCCCACGUCAUCUUCUCUCUGCAGCCCAUCGCUGCAGUUAACCGCAACAAGUUCCUUUCUGCUGUUCUCCGCCUGAUCCUCAAUGCCACUGAGACCACCGAGAUCCGUAUCGCCGCCGUCUCCACCAUGUUCCACGUAAGUCCCAAUCCAAUCGAAUCAUAAUAACAUUAGUACAUUGUUUUACUAUCAACUACGCCGAUUCCAAGCAAUCCUUGCAUGAAGCCUAUUUGAACGUCGCUCGUGAUGCUGUAAGAGCUCUGUUUUUACACCCGUUUCUCAUUGUGUUCGCAUUUAACGGAUAAAUGCAUCAAAACCUGACUGGUAUCUUUAAGUAUUUAAGUCCUUUAAGUCAUCCUGUUCUCACCACUCGAAAUGGCUCUCCAUCUCUGGUUUCCGAUUUUGACUUUCGAUUAGCAGAAGAGCUACUACGAAAUGUAAAUGGAACAAGAAGAAAUAUGUGGACAUUUUUUUUUUCGCGGCUAUGCGUCGCGAAGAAAGGAAUUGUAGUAUUUGCUUCUAAAUCGGGUAUUUUUAAAGCUAACCAGGCCUCACCAAGCAUUUAGUUGUUGAGAAGUAGUUUUGAUAGAGUGUUGGAUUAAGUUCAAAAAUAAUUCACGUUUGUUGUCUUUUUCUGGUCCCUCCUCCGUUUUCCCUCAAUUAAGACCCAAAUUUAAGUAACUUGAUCCAUCCUUUGAUUCACGGUGCUUAUAGCUUUGAAUGCAAUCAGCAGUUUCCCAGAAAAUGGAAUGGGGGAAGGGUGUUUCAUGUUGGAAUUGACCCCUCCCACAAAAAAAAAGGUCCAGAGUGGCUCGGUUAUAUGUUAUUCUGCGAUAUCGAAAACUAA